rnacentral:rRNA from 1 species
CCUACGGGAGGCAGCAGUGGGGGAUAUUGCACAAUGGGGGAAACCCUGAUGCAGCGACGCCGCGUGUGGGAAGACGGUCCUCUGGAUUGUAAACCACUGUCCCCAGGGACGAAGAUGACGGUACCUGGGGAGGAAGCUCCGGCUAACUACGUGCCAGCAGCCGCGGUUAUACGUAGGGAGCGAGCGUUGUCCGGAAUUACUGGGAGUAAAGGGAGCGUAGGCGGGACUGCAAGUUGGGUGUCAAAUCUACCGGCUCAACCGGUAGCCGCACUGAAUACUGCAAUUCUUGAGUGAAGUAGAGGCAGGCGGAAUUCCAAGUGAAGCGGUGAAAUGCGUAGAUAUUAGGAAGAACACCAGUGGCGAAGGCAGCCUACUGGGCUUUUACUGACGCUGAGGCACGAAAGUGUGGGGAGCAAACAGGAUUAGAUACCCCAGUAGUC